rnacentral:rRNA from 1 species
CGGACGGGUGAGUAAUGUCUGGGAAACUGCCUGAUGGAGGGGGAUAACUACUGGAAACGGUAGCUAAUACCGCAUAACGUCGCAAGACCAAAGAGGGGGACCUUCGGGCCUCUUGCCAUCGGAUGUGCCCAGAUGGGAUUAGCUAGUAGGUGGGGUAACGGCUCACCUAGGCGACGAUCCCUAGCUGGUCUGAGAGGAUGACAAGCCACACUGGAACUGAGACACGGUCCAG